UACGUAGGGUGCGAGCGUUAAGCGGAAUUACUGGGCGUAAAGCGUGCGCAGGCGGUCUCGUAAGCUGGGUGUGAAAGCCCCGGGCUUAACCUGGGAACGGCAUUCAGGACUGCGAGGCUCGAGUGUGGCAGAGGGAGGUGGAAUUCCACGUGUAGCAGUGAAAUGCGUAGAGAUGUGGAGGAACACCGAUGGCGAAGGCAGCCUCCUGGGCCAGCACUGACGCUCAUGCACGAAAGCGUGGGGAGCAAACAGG
rnacentral:rRNA from 1 species